rnacentral:rRNA from 1 species
AUGAGCCACGGCGUCGCGGCGAGGAAGCGGUUCGGCGGCGUCGGCUUCGCGCUCGGCUGCGGCUGCAAGGACCCCAAGGCCGUGGCGGUCGCGGCGGCGGCGGUGGCCGCCUCGUCGCCGCGCUCCGGCACGGAGGCGUCCACGGCCACCACGGCCACGUCGCGGACGGCCAGCAGGACGCACCCGUCGGCGUCCACGUCCACGGGCACGCUCACCGUGCCCUCCGCCUCCUCCUCCUUCCUGUGGGAGGACGCCGACGAGGUCGAGUGCAAGCGGGCGAGCUCCGCGACCACGCCCAGCUUCUCCGGCCUGCUGCGCGAGCUCAGCGAGCUCGAGCGGAGCAUCAAGUCGUGCGCGCGGACCAAGAGCCCCCCAAGAAAUCACUUCUCGCCACCGCCGCCGCCUCCUCCUCCUCCACCGCCGCCUCCGCCGUUGCCGUCGCGGCCCGUGCAACGUCGAGCUGUGCGCGGCGACGACAAGCCCAGCAUCCAAGAAGGCCACGGCGACUUCUCGCCGCCGCGGCCGCGCCCGCUCCCGCCGCCAUCCUUGCAGGUCCCAACCCAGCAGCAUCGGAGGGUGAAGAGCGUUGACAAAGCCAGCAAGCAAGAAGGCGACGCGCACUUCACGCCACAGCCCCCUCGCCCUCUGCCCCCGCCGCCGCCGCUGGAGCCGGUCCGGAGCGCGAAGACCGAGGAGGACAAUAAAUCCAAGAGCAAAGAAGACGAGAAGCGCUCGCCGACACCGCAGGCGGCGCCGAAGCACCGGAAAGCGACGAGCUGCGACAACAGCAACGGCAACGGCUUCGGCGGCGGCAGCGGGAGGCUGGACGGGAGCGUGGCGGUGGUGAAGCAGUCGGAGGACCCGCUGGGCGACUUCCGGCGGUCGAUGCUGAACAUGAUCGUGGAGAACGGGAUCGUGACGGGCGACGAGCUCCGCGAGCUCCUCCGGCGCUUCCUGGCGCUGAACGCGCCCCGGCACCACGACGCCAUCCUCCGGGCCUUCGCGGAGAUCUGGGACGAGGUGUUCGCCCCCGCCGCCGCCGCCACGGCCGGCCGCGAGCCGGGGCCGGCCGCCAGGCCGACGGCGCCCCGGCAGAGGACGCCGCCCCGCCGCCGGCAACCUCUGCCUCCCCCGGCGUGGCGCGUGUAG